CGAGGCCACGAUUUCGCCAUGACAACCAGCUUUGCUACCUCCUAUCGGCUUCCAUUUUCGGACCACAGCCGUAGCAACUGGAAUGAUCACGUGUUAUCACUCAGCUGGCAGCAAUUGCAUUAUGGGAUAGGUGUGAGGAGUGCUAGUCGAGAGCCGGGUCAGUCAUUAGUUGCCGGCUAAGCCACAUCGAUCGCAACACGUGCUAUGUAUAGGCUUGUGCUACCAUCUUUAUAAAAAUGCAUCCCCCCGGUUUGCUACUAGCUGCAGACGACGGUUGUGGUUGUGAAACGUGCUGCGGUACCGCAUCGGGACCUACCGGUACCACAGGGACCACUACAGUACACGUGCAUCAAAGGUGGUGCAACGGUUGCCCCUGUCCACCGGGCACCACUAGCCACCCUGCACAUAGUCAUCCCGCACAAUCUAAGCCGGACUGUAGAUGUUUAUAUAAUGUGUGUCUACCUAUUAAUCCAAGUAAUGGUUACAGUAAUGAUAUGGUGAGUAGUUUUAUGUUACUAUAAUAGUUUUUCGAUGAGUCGCUUUCUUACUUUUAUCCUCAAAUCGCGUCCGAUACCAGUCGCGGCGCAUCGUGUAAUGUAGUGCCUAGUCGCGUCGCUUCGUGUGCCGCGCUAUCUGUAGCCUUCUCGCAUCGUGUCACGUCGAUUUUCAGUUUUAUCAUGGGAAUUCUUUCGUUUUUUUUUUUCUUCUUUUCGUAUCCAGUUAACUUCAUUAAUUGUGACGUAGAAAAUUAGAUAAAUGUGUUGCUGGUUAAUUACAGUUCAUAUUCCCGCGCUCCGAUCAUUAAAAAAUAAUCACGGGUCGAGUUUAAGUAAUAAUAAUGUUACAAUAAACUUAAAUGAUAAUUAGUUCUCUUAAUUUUCAAUAUAUAUAUAUAUAAUCUGAGA
rnacentral:lncRNA from 1 species